ACAUGCCUACAACAUAGUGUUAAUGAAUUGGAUCCCAUUAUAACUCUUUAGUUAAGCACGCUCGAGAUAGAGUAGUACUAGGAUGGGUGACCACUUGGGAAGUCCUAGUAUUUUACAUGCC
rfam:Picea glauca, whole genome shotgun sequence.